GAUUUGGAACCCCCCAAUAUCCGCUUCUCGUGAUGGGGAGAUUUCGUCGACCUCGUCUCCUUGAUGCUCUGCACCAAACCCUUUGGAAACCCCUACAACCAUCAAUGUUCCGCCGUUGAUCUCCGAAAUCUGGAUCCAUAAGCAUGCGUAUACACCAAACGAGAGGCUUUGCUUAAUCCUUCAGGAACAGGAAACUGCAAAAACCAAAGAAUAAGGAACUGUACUCGAAUCUAAUUUCAUAAUGACAUUCUGGAUUAAAGCGUGCAGCAAAAUGUAGGCAGUAAGAGCAAUGGCACAUGGUAUAAUUGUCAGCUCUCCAGCAUUGUUGCCAGUGUCGAAGCAUGCAGGAAGAGCAAUGUGGCUAUACCAGGAAGUAUUCGACUGAGGCAAGGAAUGUGGAUGUAUACCAAAAUGUGAGUAGGCAAGCAUUGAUUUGCUGGUUGCAUUAUAUCAAGUGCACAAAUUCAACAUUACUGUAAUCUUCUCUGCAUUCAUUACUACUUUGUAUGUGAGGCCAUAAAAUGUCUGUCUCACGCAGUUCAUGCAUUUGAUCGAUUUCGAUCCAUUUGCAAU